AGAGUUUGAUCAUGGCUCAGGAUGAACGCUAGCGGGAGGCCUAACACAUGCAAGCCGAGCGGUAGAGAUUCUUCGGAAUCUUGAGAGCGGCGUACGGGUGCGGAACACGUGUGCAACCUGCCUUUAUCAGGGGGAUAGCCUUUCGAAAGGAAGAUUAAUACCCCAUAAUAUAAUGAGUGGCAUCACUUAUUAUUGAAAACUCCGGUGGAUAGAGAUGGGCACGCGCAAGAUUAGAUAGUUGGUAGGGUAACGGCCUACCAAGUCAGUGAUCUUUAGGGGGCCUGAGAGGGUGAUCCCCCACACUGGUACUGAGACACGGACCAGACUCCUACGGGAGGCAGCAGUGAGGAAUAUUGGACAAUGGGUGAGAGCCUGAUCCAGCCAUCCCGCGUGAAGGACGACGGCCCUAUGGGUUGUAAACUUCUUUUGUAUAGGGAUAAACCUUUCCUCGUGAGGAAAGACUGAAGGUACUAUACGAAUAGCACCGGC
rnacentral:rRNA from 1 species